UACGAGUGCCUCAAGCGUUAUCCGGAAUCAUUGGGCGUAAAGGAUGUGUAGGUGGUUGUGUUAGUCUCUCGUUAAAUUCUUCGGCUUAACCGGGGGCAUGCGGGAGAAACGGCACGACUAGAGGAUGCAAGGGGUCUGCGGAACUCAUAGUGUAGCGGUGAAAUGCGUUGAUAUUAUGGGGAACACCAAAAGCGAAGGCAGCAGACUGGGGCACUCCUGACACUGAGACAUGAAAGCGUGGGUAGCGAAUGGG
rnacentral:rRNA from 1 species